UCCGGUAUGGUCUAAUGGCUAGGAUACCUGGCUUUCACCCAGGAGGUUCGGGUUCGAUUCCCGGUACCGGAA
rnacentral:tRNA from 3 species